UUCUCAUUUCUUUUUUUCUUUCUUCUUUUUCAUUUCUGGUCUAACACUUCUCUUCACUCUCUCAAACUCUCCCGACAGUACCUCCAUACCACUAUUUCCACCAUCAUUUUUCGAUAAGAUCACUGGAAAAUUCUUGUGAACCUAUAAGCACCUUCACACCCUUUUUUUGAGGUUCUAGCUAAUCUCCUUGGAGCUUGGAGAAUUAGGAUUUUGCGGUUGCGAGCUAUACCUUGGGUAUGGAGCUUACUUCUUUGGUGAUGAUUAGAGUGCUAUGUUAUUUUUGGAGACUUUUGCUGUAAAUGGUUGGUGACUCGAUCUUGCUAUGUUCAACGAGAUCUUAAUUAAUUCUAUUGGAGGUGGGCUGCUUGAGGUUUGUUAGCCUUUGGCGUGGUAGGCCUAGACUCGAUGUUAAGGUCCUUAAUCUUGAUAAGAUUAUGACUUUGUGUAAUUUAAUGAGCUUUGUAAUAUAUUCAUGUAUUAUGUGGAGGUACAUGAUUUUUAGUUAUUAUUUGUAAAUGUGUUA